rnacentral:rRNA from 1 species
UGGGGAAUAUUGGACAAUGGGCGAAAGCCUGAUCCAGCAAUGCCGCGUGUGUGAAGAAUGCCUUCGGGUUGUAAAGCACUUUCAGUAAGGAAGAAAACUCAGGAGUUAAUACCUCUUGAGCCUGACGUUACUUACAGAAGAAGCACCGGCUAACUCUGUGCCAGCAGCCGCGGUAAUACAGAGGGUGCGAGCGUUAAUCGGAAUUAUUGGGCGUAAAGCGCGUGUAGGCGGAAGAUUAAGUUAGUUGUGAAAUACAUGGGCUCAACCUGUGGACUGCAUCUAAAACUGGUCUUCUAGAGUAUGGUAGAGGGAAGUGGAAUUUCCGGUGUAGCGGUGGAAUGCAUAGAUAUCGGAAGGAACCUCAGUGGCGAAGGCGGCUUCCUGGACCAAUACUGACGCUGAGACGCGAAAGCGUGGGUAGCAAACAGG